ensembl:snRNA U6 U6 spliceosomal RNA
AUCUUCACUUUGGCAGCACAUGUACUAAAAUUGGAAUGAUGCAGAGAUUAGCAUGGCCCCCUGAGAAAGAAUGACAUGCAAUUCUGAAGAGUUCUAUAUUUUC